rnacentral:rRNA from 1 species
AACGAACGCUGGCGGCAGGCUUAACACAUGCAAGUCGAGCGCCCCGCAAGGGGAGCGGCAGACGGGUGAGUAACGCGUGGGAAUCUACCCACCUCUACGGAAUAACGCAUGGAAACGUGUGCUAAUACCGUAUACGUCCUUCGGGAGAAAGAUUUAUCGGAGAUGGAUGAGCCCGCGUUGGAUUAGCUAGUUGGUGGGGUAAAGGCCUACCAAGGCGACGAUCCAUAGCUGGUCUGAGAGGCUGAUCAGCCACACGGGGACUGAGCCACGGCCCAGACUCCUACGGGAGGCAGCAGUGGGGAAUAUUGGACAAUGGGCGCAAGCCUGAUCCAGCCAUGCCGCGUGAGUGAUGAAGGCCCUAGGGUUGUAAAGCUCUUUCACCGGUGAAGAUAAUGACGGUAACCGGAGAAGAAGCCCCGGCUAACUUCGUGCCAGCAGCCGCAGUAACAC